AGUCAAGAACAAUCACACCCACUUCAUUAAAAAUCCCGAUUCCAGUACAACACUUCGACUAUUCAGCAACGAUUGCCUCAGUCUUCCCAAAACCCUAUGAAGAAAAAAAACCUAAUCUCUGUCUUUUUUUUCCGCCCCAAAGCAUGAAGCUAGCUCUCCGAUCCUUCUCCAAAAACUUAUUCUCUCCCCUUUCAUUUCUUAACCUAUCUUCCCCUUUAACCCUAAUUCUCCCC
rnacentral:lncRNA from 1 species